rnacentral:rRNA from 1 species
UUGAACGCUGGCGGCAGGCCUAACACAUGCAAGUCGAGCGGUAGCACAGAGAGCUUGCUCUCGGGUGACGAGCGGCGGACGGGUGAGUAAUGUCUGGGAAACUGCCUGAUGGAGGGGGAUAACUACUGGAAACGGUAGCUAAUACCGCAUAACGUCGCAAGACCAAAGUGGGGGACCUUCGGGCCUCAUGCCAUCAGAUGUGCCCAGAUGGGAUUAGCUAGUAGGUGGGGUAACGGCUCACCUAGGCGACGAUCCCUAGCUGGUCUGAGAGGAUGACCAGCCACACUGGAACUGAGACACGGUCCAGACUCCUACGGGAGGCAGCAGUGGGGAAUAUUGCACAAUGGGCGCAAGCCUGAUGCAGCCAUGCCGCGUGUGUGAAGAAGGCCUUCGGGUUGUAAAGCACUUUCAGCGGGGAGGAAGGCGAUAAGGUUAAUAACCUUGUCGAUUGACGUUACCCGCAGAAGAAGCACCGGCUAACUCCGUGCCAGCAGCCGCGGUAAUACGGAGGGUGCAAGCGUUAAUCGGAAUUACUGGGCGUAAAGCGCACGCAGGCGGUCUGUCAAGUCGGAUGUGAAAUCCCCGGGCUCAACCUGGGAACUGCAUUCGAAACUGGCAGGCUAGAGUCUUGUAGAGGGGGGUAGAAUUCCAGGUGUAGCGGUGAAAUGCGUAGAGAUCUGGAGGAAUACCGGUGGCGAAGGCGGCCCCCUGGACAAAGACUGACGCUCAGGUGCGAAAGCGUGGGGAGCAAACAGGAUUAGAUACCCUGGUAGUCCACGCCGUAAACGAUGUCGAUUUGGAGGUUGUGCCCUUGAGGCGUGGCUUCCGGAGCUAACGCGUUAAAUCGACAGCCUGGGGAGUACGGCCGCAAGGUUAAAACUCAAAUGAAUUGACGGGGGCCCGCACAAGCGGUGGAGCAUGUGGUUUAAUUCGAUGCAACGCGAAGAACCUUACCUGGUCUUGACAUCCACAGAACUUUCCAGAGAUGGAUUGGUGCCUUCGGGAACUGUGAGACAGGUGCUGCAUGGCUGUCGUCAGCUCGUGUUGUGAAAUGUUGGGUUAAGUCCCGCAACGAGCGCAACCCUUAUCCUUUGUUGCCAGCGGUUAGGCCGGGAACUCAAAGGAGACUGCCAGUGAUAAACUGGAGGAAGGUGGGGAUGACGUCAAGUCAUCAUGGCCCUUACGACCAGGGCUACACACGUGCUACAAUGGCAUAUACAAAGAGAAGCGACCUCGCGAGAGCAAGCGGACCUCAUAAAGUAUGUCGUAGUCCGGAUUGGAGUCUGCAACUCGACUCCAUGAAGUCGGAAUCGCUAGUAAUCGUAGAUCAGAAUGCUACGGUGAAUACGUUCCCGGGCCUUGUACACACCGCCCGUCACACCAUGGGAGUGGGUUGCAAAAGAAGUAGGUAGCUUAACCUUCGGGAGGGCGCUUACCACUUUGUGAUUCAUGACUGGGGUG